AGUGAGCGAUUAUAGUAUGUAUACAUCAAUAGUUUAGCAAGAAAGCAUUCUAUAAAGUUCUAAGUUUUUUGUUCUUUUACAAAAUCCACAAUCAAGUCUGCCAUUAAAAGUUGCUUUUAAACAAGAAGUAAUUCUCUUCUCUUCUUUUUUUUGUUGCAGACUACCAAAAGUUGAAUAGACCAAACAGUAACCAGAUUAAGAUGCAGCUAGAUACUAUUACUCAACAUUCCAUUGGAAUUAGAAUGAAAUUUGAUAAAGGCGAAAACAUGAAACCAGCAAUUCGAUCGUUCGAUUAAGUUAGACA
rnacentral:lncRNA from 1 species